rnacentral:sRNA from 1 species
CCGGAUUAUAGUCAGUUAGCCACCAGAGCUCGUCUGGAGUACAACUAGUUUCGGCAAAAUGUAAAUAUUCAUCAAAAAUAUCAAAAUUCUCAGUGAAAUGGACGGGAUUUUAUUGACUCACUUUUCUUCACAUACACACACACGCACCUUCGAUAAUUCACACUCUUGAUGAUGAUUUAACCAUUGAUGAUAAAUACCUGAUGAUGUCCCUGAUGACGACCCCUGAUGACACCAUGUAUCCUGAUGAGCAUGGGACCGUAAUGAUGAUUCACACUAAAUGAUGCACACUGAAUGAUGUACAACGAUAUGUACUUAACUGGUGCACGCUUGCUUGUGCCUAACCUUGAUAAUCUACUACUAACUUGAUGAUAUACAACACUGGAUGUAGCACGCUUUUCCUUUCACCGAUGAUGUACGCCUGAAGUACACUCUUGAGCAUUGUUUUCUAUGACGACGGGGAAACAAUUAUAAUUGUAUUUGGUUUUAUCGAAGGAACCGAAGCAUUAUUGAAAGGGUGUCGAGAUUUUGAUCAUGAUUGCCAGCUGACAGCCACUACCCGGUCGAACUACUACUGCCUAUUACUUAAACAUAAUGGAGGUCGAUUUUUCGUUUCGCCAAAUUCGUUCACUGAUUAAUAUAUGACGAUAUAAAUAUAUUCUACUGCAACCCAAACGAAGGCUUAGGGACACACUAUAGGGAGAGCUGAUGGUACCGGUCCCGCUGGACGCGUAGCUUGCAUCGCUUCUCCCCACGAUGAUUAUGAUGAUUAUGAUAAUAUGCCAUUCGCAAUUACCAAUAGGAUGUAAUUGUUUACUUUAAUUGUUCCAUUAAAACCAAUGAGCCCGAUUAAGCCUUCUUGGUCUAGCCUGGAUAAAAAA